GAGCAAUCAGCAGCCAGAUCUGGGCUUACCCUCUACGAGGGCUUUGGAAAACCUCUUUUUUAUUUCCUCAUUCAUACGUGAUGUCUUUGAAACUGAAAAAUUAAGUGUCCCUUUCUGGACACCACCUGUCUGGAUCCAAAUUUAAUCAG